AGAUUGCUUCUGCUGGUGUUUUGUGAGUGAGCCCAGGAUAGGGCCAGUGGUUUGGUUCAGUAGUGGAAGAGCUGAAACGGGAAAACAUUUGACUUACAAGAAAAGUUUAUUGGAAUUGUUGUGGCUGGCUGGCUUGUGGAAAUGUUUAUGCCUGUGAAAAGAAGUCCAGUUGGGAUAGAUACUCACCGAGGACAUCGAUAUUCAAGUACAUUCUUGACUACCUGAUAUAAUUCCUACUUAGUACAAAGGGUGUGACACCUCAUCUGCUUCAUGGCCUUGCUAAGAAGCUAUCCAUACUUUUAGCAAACCUGAGUUUGCAGAGAAAAGUCUGAGAUACUGCCCUGAAUUUGGCAGUUACCAUACAGUAUAAAUUUUUGCAGAGAGGAAAACCUUCAAAUGUCCCAGAAACAAACUGUCCAAGGAUUCUGAUGGUGAUAAAAUAUAGAAGUGGCCGUGGUCUCUUGUGAGAUGGCAUCAUGUUGAAGGACGAAGGGAGAAUGGAAAUUCUGCUGAAGCAGCAAGAGACAACUCUUUGGGGAAAUGAUAGGACGUUCUGAUUAAACCAGCUGAAGAACAAAUUUCUCUUGUUAGUCAGGUUUGGGGGAAGUGAAAUUUUUUCAUUGCACUGUUCUUCUCUCCUCCCUAUAGUACCAGAAGUGAAUAGUUUUUUUUUUUUAAGGUGCUUUACAGAUUUGUGUUCAUAACCUAAUUAAAACAUCACCUGUAUAUUAUCUAGUAUUGUGUAGCACUAGUACUACGCUAGUACUAGUUUGUGUUCACAAAGAAUGAUAGAAUUUUUAGUCAGAAAUGGCAUAAUAAAUUUUCUACAUACAGCUAUUCUUCAUUAUAAACUCUAUUAUCAGUACUUCUAAUUCUCUGCAUGAAAAUUAAUUUUAUAUUAAAAAAAACUGCAUUGCAAUCUGGGAUGACACUUGUAUUAAAACUUAUGUUUGUUUCGUUAUAAUGCUUGCAAGUCGCAGACAAUAAUGAUGUCAGGCUGCUAGGCAGCUUUUACAUGAAACGAGGAGAUGGUUCUACCCCAUAUGUGCAAGAGGUUCUAUCCCACAAAACACUGAAGUUAUACAAGCACAUGAGAAAUGUAUUAGUAAGUGAGUUUGGUGUUAAUUUUUGAGUGAGAUGGUGGGAAAUCCUUUGGUAAAUAAAUAUUAUCUGUUAAAAUCUAAGAAUAAUGUAGGAAAGCUGUUCAGCAUUUAAAAUUUUAUACUGCAUUUUGGUGUGAGAAAAGUCAAGGUGAAAGUGAGAACAAAAACACUGACAAGCAAAAUAGUUUUUUGUAUCUGAGUUCUCAAGUCUCAAACAUCUGUUGAGUUUGACUUCUUCUGAAUUAUUAUUACUUAGUGACUGCUGUUUUUCAGCAGCCAGUUUAUUAAUAAGAUUAUAUUUUAUUUGACUUCAAUUGUACUUCAUGAAACAAUUCAAAUUGCUUUAGAAAUAUUUAUUAGACUUUCAAGCCCCCAAGCUAUGAAACGUAGUUCUUACUGCCAUAUCAUAAUCACUGAAAUACAUCAAAAACUUGGAGUUUAGAAACUCGUACAGUAAAAAUAAAAAAUCCAAGUAUAACAAAAGACAAAAUGAUAAGCAAUAAGGUUUUAAUGUGGCUCUUUCAUCAUGUGAGAAAAUUGAAUGUAUUUAAGAGUAAAUAAAUGCUACAACAAUAUCCCAUUUAUUUUUCAAGUCCAUCCAGAUUAAUAUAGAAACUGUCACUUGAGUAAGAAUGUUUUCAGAAUAUUAGACACUCAGUUGGAUGUUAGGCACUCAUCAAAUUCACCAGAAAAAAGUUAAAUUUUUCCCUCCAUUUUCUUUUGUUCCCCUCUUUCCUUUUUUGUAAGGGUUUAGCCUUAUGGUGAAGGCAAUAGUAAAGGGCCUAUUAAUUUUGAUAUUUUUUUCCAUUUCUACCAGAGAUUGCAAGUGCAGUAUUGAGUGAAUUUAUAAUUUUAUUUUUGUUUAGAAAAAUUUUGAUGUUAUUUCACAGUUAUGUAAACUGUCAAUUUUACUUAUGUGAAUUAUUUGCAUUUUUCUUAAG